CCACUUUGGAGAGCGCUCCUUGUUCUGUCCUACCGCAAUAGAACUGGCAGGGGUCUUUUCUGCAAAGGCUUCUUUCAUGUGGGUAUACUUCUCCACACGGAUAGGUAUAUCCAAAAAAUUUUGAAGAUAAGUCUUAGUCAAUGACUUUUUCAAGUCAUUUUUCAGUAGGCUGCCCAUCAUCGCGGUCGACUGGUCUAGAUCAU
rnacentral:lncRNA from 1 species